CCCAGUGACUAAGUGUUAACGGCCGUGGUAUCUUAACAUGCGAAGGUAGCGUAAUCACUUGUCUUUUAAAUGAAGACCUGUAUGAAUGGCAAAACGAGGGCUUAACUGUCUCCCCUCCCCAGUCAAUGAAAUUGACCUCCCCGUGCAGAGGCGGGGAUAAAUAUAUAAGACGAGAAGACCCUGUGGAGCUUUAGACUUAGAAUAACCACGUUUAACAAACUCCCACACAAGAAAAAACUUAGUGAAGACUAUUUGAAUGUCUUUGGUUGGGGUGACCGCGGGGCAAAACUAAGCCCCCAUGAAGAUUGGGGAGAUAUCCCUAACACCAAGAGUUCCCCCUCUAAGCAACAAAAAUUUUGACUUUAAAACGAUCCGGGCUAACCGAUUAACGAACUCAGUUACCCCAGGGAUAACAGCGCAAUCCCCUUUCAGAGUCCCUAUCGACAGGGGGUUUACGACCUCGAUGUUGGAUCAGGACAUCCUAAUGGUGCAGCCGCUAUUAAGGGUUCGUUUGUUCAACGAUUAA
rnacentral:rRNA from 1 species